UAUGAGAGCAGAGAUUACAGCAUAUAUAUACAUAUACCUCUCCUAAACCAAUGAGGAUUUCCUAUUACAAUCCGAUUAGGAAACAACUCAUGUUUCCUAGUGUAUGUUAGUUCUUCUCCAUGACAGAUUCCUCUAUCAACAAGAACUCACAUUCAUCUUCCUAUAAGGCUUUCUUAUACUAAUUGGACCAAAUAACUAAUACUUGUUCACCGAAUACUCAUGUUCAUAUCUUUACAUUCUCCCACUUGAACACGAGACAUUGAACAAGCACAGCCUUCACCAAUUAUAAGAAGUGAUCACAUAGCCUUAUUCAAGAUUUUAUCAUCAUGACCAACGUCCCAUUGCAUUUCAAAAUACAGAAGCCAAGAAUCUCAGAUUACUACCAAACAAUCAUUGAUUCAAGACUCACAUGUAUCAAAUCUGCAAUUAUGACACAUGAUUAACAACACCAAUCCAGAACAUGCUCCCACUUUUCAAAAGAUUAUAAUCUAUAUCAAUCUUCAAUGAAAACAGCAUUUCAAUAACUGAAUAAAAUUCAUGAAACAUAUAAACCUUUAAAACAAACAAAUUGUUCUUGCAAAGUACCAUAUGAAUCUAACAAGUCUAUCAUCAAAACCACAAUACUCCAAAACGGAAGCCUUAGGUUUCGAAGCAAAGACUCUUAUUAAAAUAUAAAACAAACUAACAAACUAAACAUAACUAAGUAAGCUAGCUCAGACUAAAAUGUAAACAAAGUCCCAAAUUGAAUUACUCACAUAGCAGCAACCUUCAAAUUUUCUGAAACAGAUCAAUUACUCCCACUGAUCUAGAGUUUCCAACACUCCCAUCCGAGAUACAUGUUUCUGAAACUCUCCAAUAGGCAGCGCUUUAGUCAGAGGAUCUGCAACCAUCAAAACAGUGCUGAUGUGCUGAACUUCGAUCAUCCCCUUCUUCACUUCCUCUCUUACUUUAAGAAAUUUUACAUCCAUUAACCUUGAGGCAGAAGUUCUUCUAUUAUUUUUUGCAAAGAACACAUCAGAAUUGUUAUCACAAAACAUCCUUACUGGUUUUUGAACCGACUUUACAAUUUUUAAAUCAGUCAGAAAAUUCUUCAACCACACAGCUUGUUUCAUCCCUUCAAAACAAGCUACGAACUCAGCCUCCAUAGUGGAUGUGGCUAUCACAGUUUGCUUAGCACUCUUCCAAGAAACUGCACCACCAUUUAACAUAAAGAUAUAACCACCAGUCGAUUUUCUAUCAUCUAUAUCACCAGCCAAAUCAGAGUCAGUAUAUCCUUCAAGUUCCAAAGAUUCGCCAUUUCCAUAAACCAACAUGAAAUUCUUGGUUCUUUGUAAAUAUCGUAGAACCUUUUUGGCAGAUAUCCAAUGUGCUUCACCUGGAUUUGAUUGAAACCUUCCCAGCAUUCCAGUUAUAAAAGCAAGGUCAGGCCGUGUACAUAUAGUUGCAUACAUGAGACUUCCCACCAGAGAAGCAUAAGGCUUACCCUGCAUUUUCUCUGUCUCCAAGUCAGUCCUCGGACAUUGACUCUUGGAGAACUUAUCCCCUUUAUUAACUGGAACUUGUCCAUAACUACAAUUCCCAUAUUGAACCGAUGUAAUACUCUAUCAAUGUAACCCUUUUGCGAUAAGCCAAGUAAUUUUUUCUGUCUAUUGCGUACAAUCUCAAUCCCCAACACAUAGUGUGCCUCUCCUAGAUCCUUCAUAUCAAAGCUUUCACUGAGCAUCCUCUUAGUUCUUUGUAAUAACUGUGGACAAGAACUUGCUAGAAGAAUGUCAUCAACGUAAAGUACCAAAAAAAUGAACUGAGAACCAGAAAAUUUAAGAUAAAUGCAAUCGUCCAAUUUGUUUUCUUCAAAUCCCUGAGAAGAGACAAUCUGAUCAAACUUUAAAUACCAUUGUCUAGAGGCCUGUUUUAACCCAUAGAUGGACUUAUUGAGCUGGCAAACCAUGUUUUCCUUCCCCCUUUCAACAAAUCCAGGUGGUUGUUUCAUAUAGAUGCAUUCCUCUAAGUUGCCAUUAAGAAAAGCUGUUUUGACAUCCAUUUGAUGCAGCUCUAAGUCAAAAUAUGCAACCAAGGCCAUGACAACUCGCAUUGAAUCUUUAGAAGAGACUGGGGAAAAAGUAUCGUUGUAAUCAAUACCUUCUCGUUGAGUGAAGCCCUUUGCAACUAAUCGUGCUUUGUGUCUCUCAAUUUUUCCAAGAGCAUCUCUUUUGGUCUUGUACACCCACUUACAACCUAUAGGCUUGAUUUGAGGGCUAGACUCCACAAGUGUCCAUACAUUAUUUUUAUACAUGGAAUCUAGUUCUUCUUUCAUAGCAUUCCGCCAUAGAGUUGACUGUGAACUUUCAAUGGCCUGAGAGUAAGAGAUGGGGUCAUCCAAAUCACCAAUGUCAAAAUCUGCUUCUUGCAAGUAAACAUAAUCACUCGUAGCAGUUGAUUUCCUGACUCUUGUGGACUUUCUGGGUUCAAUUAACACUGGUUGUUCAGAAUUUGAAGCAGGUGCAGGUGCAAGAAGUUGAUCAUCGAUUUCCAUAAUGUGGUAUGUGGGAGAAUCCGAAUCUGCAAGUGUUUCUUCUCUUUCAUUAAUUGAUGGCUGACUGAAUAAUGGGACCUGAGUGUAGUUGAGGGCUUCUGGGAUGUCAUGUAACUGAUCCAUCUCUUCAAAAAUGAAAUUUUCCCGCGACAGAUCUGUAACAUCUUGAUCCUCUAAGAAUACUGCAUUAUGCGUUUCUUGGAUCCGAGUGUGAUGUUGAGGAAUAUAGAAUCUGUAGCCCUUUGACUUUUCAGGAUACCCUAUGAAGUAACAAGAUUGAGUCCUUGAAUCUAAUUUUCUUUCAUUAGGAUUAUAGAACCUUGCUUCUGAUUUGCAACCCCAAACGUGAAAGUAUUCAAAAUUAGGUGUUCUGCCAUGCCAUAACUCAAAAGGUGUUGAGAUAACAGAUUUGCUCGGUACUCUGUUCAAAAUAUGAUUUGCUGUCUUCAAGGCUUCUCCCCACAAGAAACCAGGCAAUUUGGAUCUUGACAUCAUGCUCCUCACCAUACCUAUAAGAGUUCGAUUCCUUCGUUCCGAGACUCCAUUUUGUUGAGGUGUCCCCGGUGUUGUAUACUGAGCUACAAUGCCGUUUUGCUCUAAAUAUAGUGCAAAUGGUCCCUUUUGCUGUCCUGAUUCAGUGUACCUGCCAAAGUAUUCUCCUCCCCUAUCCGAUCUAACAAUUUUAAUAACUUUACCUAAUUGUUUUUCAACCUCAAUUUUGUAAACAAUAAAACAUUUAAGGGCAUCAGAUUUUUCUUUAAUCAGAAAAGUAUAUCCCAGUCUAGAGAAGUCAUCGAUAAAGUUAACAAAAUACUUGUUUCCACAUAUGGUUUUGACUGGAAAAGGACCACAGAUGUCAGUGUGUAUGAUUUCAAGUAACACUUUGCUUAUUUUGGCAUCUAGUUUUCUAAAGUUGGUCAUUUUUCCUUUCAAACAAUCAACACAUUCUGUUACAGUGGCAGAAUCUAGUUUGGGAAUUAGUUCAGCUUUGCAAAGUUGAAGAAUCCUUUCUUUAGAGAUGUGCCCUAACCUCUUAUGCUAAAGAAUAUAAGAUGAAUCAUGUUCUAACAUUCUUUUUGAAUUGACAUUAAAAACAGACUGAUCAACAAACUCAACUAUACACUCUAGUCUCCAGAGAUUUUCAGACAAGAGGGCAAUGCCUAAAAUUUUAUGAAAACUGUUUUUCUUAAAAAUUUUCAAACAUACAUCAUCAGCAGAGAAUGCAUAACCAUCUUUUAUUAUUUUAGAAGCAGAGAGCAAGUUUCUUCUCAUUUUAGGCACAUAGAGCACAUCUUUCAGUUGUAAUACAAAACCAGAAUUCAGUUUUAAGUUUACUACUCCAAUGGAAUGCACUGCAACCUUAGUCCCUUCCCCCACAUAGACAUGAUACAUAGUAUUUCCAAUCUCCUUUUGUUUUUGAAAACCUUUCAAAGAAUUAGUUAUGUGAACCGAGCAUCCAGUGUCAAACCACCAAGAAUCAACAGGUACUUCACAAAGAUUUGACUCAACACAGACAAGUACUUGUUCCUUUUCUUUGCUCCUCACAAAAUCUUUAAAAAUCUCACAAUCAACUUUUAAAUGCCCUUUAGUCUUGCACCAAAAACACUUAAGUUUAGACACAUCUUUAGGUUUAGCUUUAAAUUUGAUAGAUUUUCUAGGGGAGUCAUUUACUUUAGCAGAUAUAUUGAAUUUGUUAGAAUUCUUAGUGAAUUUAGAAUUCUUACCAGGACCUGAAGAGCUGCCUUUAUUGAAUGCUCUCUUCUCUCGUCCAGGUUGCACAUAAUUUGCUUCUUCGAUCUCCUUGCCUUUCUCUUGCUUUUGCCGAUUUUCCUCUUGCACACAUUGUGCAAUCAAUUCAUCUAUGCCCCAGUUCUUGUCCUGAGUGUUGUAAGAUACUUUUAACUGACUAUACUUGGUAGGGAGGGCUUGAAGGAUCAUGAACACAAGCUGCUUUUCUCCAAUGUUUAUCCCCAUGGAGUUUAGUUUCUCGGCAGCAUCUGACAUUUUCAUUAUAUGAUCCCUUAUUGAACCAGUAUCUUCAAUCUUGUAUUGAGUCAACACAGACAUAUAUUGGCUUACUUCUGCCUUCUCGGACUCCUUAAAUUUCUUUUCAAUUGCAGCCAAAUAAUCCAUAGCAAGCUCCGGUUUCUUAAUUCCUCCCCUGAUAGUGUCAGUCAUUCCAGCUUCUAUGAUGGAAAGUGCUACCUUAUUAGCUCUUGACCACCUCUCAAAAUCUGACUUCUCAGCUCUGGUGCUUUGAUCACUAAUUACAGGCUUGGGAUUUUCAAUUGCUAUAUCAAACUCAUUGAGAGUCAAUAGCAAGUUGAUAUCCCUCCUCCACUUCUUGUAAUUGCUACCACCAGUAAGGAUCAGAAUAUUUGCUAAGUUUAAGGUCUUCAUUGAUAUUGCAGACAUCGGUGAACCUGAAAUCACCAUAUGAACAUUCAAAGUUCUGAUUUCGUUUCACAGUCUAUUGCACAUCAAAGCUUUAUAACCAAUAUCCAUAUAUACAAUCUUAACAACAACCAGUUGAUAGGCGCAUAUAGGAUAAUUGAUUUCAGUAUAGAUCAUGAACUGAUCACCGUAUAAUCAGAACCAACCAUCACACUGAUUUGUUCCAUACAUCUCAGUUUAUGAUCUUAAUGGUGACAAUAAAUUUGCAUAAAUUUAACCAGAUAUAAUCAUUUUACGAAUGGCUUCUUUCAUUAUACAGACCAUUAAGAUGCAUUAUUUUAAGAAACUAAAUCAUAUGCUAAGAAUGACUUCUUUCAUGUUUAUAAAAAUCAUUAUACAAAUCUCUAUGCAAGAUUCAUGAUAUUCAUUUUUCUGAUCCGAGUUUUGAAGAUCACAUACCUUUUAAAGAGACAACCAUCAAUACCUAGCAGCGGAAACAAUUUUGGACAGGUAUUGAACACUCAAUAACAGGAUUUGAUUUACUCGGAUUGCAAGUGAACGGGUCAGAAUAAGAGGGACGGGUUAAAGUCCUCUUUUGCAGAAGAACAAAACCCAGAAAACCCCAAAAGAACAAACGCACCGAUUUCGAAUACCAACAGUCAUAUUAAUCUAACCUAAUUUUAUCAAAAACGCACCGUUUAGGAAAAAUUGUUUUGAGAUUUAGAACCGGUUUCGAAACCUGAUUAUGGUGAUUUUCAUUGACCCGUGCUUGAUUGAUUUUAAGAACUUAAAUCUAAGGCUCUGAUACCACAUGUUAGAAUCAAAUAGCCAAGAUCAAGAUUCAAGCCACAUUAAACACAAUCAAGAAAGCAUAAAACCUUUUACAUAUGAACUAAUGUAUUCACACUAACCUGAUGAACCUCCAUUGGAAAAUGCCAUUGCAGCAGCUGUCCAAAUUUCUGUAUACUGUAACUCUUCUCCUCUCUGGUAGAACUCUUAAUGCUCUAACUAAGAAUAGGACUUAGUUCUUGACUGAGCGCGCCUAUGAGAGCAGAGAUUACAGCAUAUAUAUACAUAUACCUCUCCUAAACCAAUGAGGAUUUCCUAUUACAAUCCGAUUAGGAAACAACUCAUGUUUCCUAGUGUAUGUUAGUUCUUCUCCAUGACAGAUUCCUCUAUCAACAAGAACUCACAUUCAUCUUCCUAUAAGGCUUUCUUAUACUAAUUGGACCAAAUAACUAAUACUUGUUCACCGAAUACUCAUGUUCAUAUCUUUACAU
rnacentral:lncRNA from 1 species